rnacentral:rRNA from 1 species
AUAGUUUGAUCCUGGCUCAGAUUGAACGCUGGCGGAAUGCUUUACACAUGCAAGUCGAACGAUGAUUUCUAGCUUGCUAGAAUGAUUAGUGGCGAACGGGUGAGUAAUGUAUCGGAACGUAUCCAAUAAUGGGGGAUAACUAAUCGAAAGGUUGGCUAAUACCGCAUACGCCCUACGGGGGAAAGCAGGGGAUCUUCGGACCUUGCGUUAAUGGAGCGGCCGAUAUCUGAUUAGCUAGUUGGUGAGGUAAAAGCUCACCAAGGCGACGAUCAGUAGCUGGUCUGAGAGGACGACCAGCCACACUGGAACUGAGACACGGUCCAGACUCCUACGGGAGGCAGCAGUGGGGAAUUUUGGACAAUGGGCGAAAGCCUGAUCCAGCCAUUCCGCGUGAGUGAAGAAGGCCUUCGGGUUGUAAAGCUCUUUCGCAAGGGAAGAAACGAUGCAGUCGAAUAAACUGUGUUAAUGACGGUACCUUGAUAAGAAGCACCGGCUAACUACGUGCCAGCAGCCGCGGUAAUACGUAGGGUGCAAGCGUUAAUCGGAAUUACUGGGCGUAAAGCGUGCGCAGGCGGUUUUGUAAGUCAGAUGUGAAAUCCCCGAGCUCAACUUGGGAACUGCGUUUGAAACUACAAGACUAGAAUAUGUCAGAGGGGGGUAGAAUUCCACGUGUAGCAGUGAAAUGCGUAGAGAUGUGGAGGAAUACCAAUGGCGAAGGCAGCCCCCUGGGAUAAUAUUGACGCUCAUGCACGAAAGCGUGGGGAGCAAACAGGAUUAGAUACCCUGGUAGUCCACGCCCUAAACGAUGUCUACUAGUUGUUGGUGGAGUAAAAUCCAUGAGUAACGCAGCUAACGCGUGAAGUAGACCGCCUGGGGAGUACGGUCGCAAGAUUAAAACUCAAAGGAAUUG